AACGAACGCUGGCGGCAUGCCUAACACAUGCAAGUCGAACGAGACCUUCGGGUCUAGUGGCGCACGGGUGCGUAACGCGUGGGAACCUGCCCUUAGGUUCGGAAUAACUCCCCGAAAGGGGUGCUAAUACCGGAUAAUGUCUUCGGACCAAAGAUUUAUCGCCUUUGGAUGGGCCCGCGUUGGAUUAGCUAGUUGGUAGGGUAAAAGCCUACCAAGGCGACGAUCCAUAGCUGGUCUGAGAGGAUGACCAGCCACACUGGGACUGAGACACGGCCCAGACUCCUACGGGAGGCAGCAGUGGGGAAUAUUGGACAAUGGGCGAAAGCCUGAUCCAGCAAUGCCGCGUGAGUGAUGAAGGCCUUAGGGUUGUAAAGCUCUUUUACCCGGGAUGAUAAUGACAGUACCGUGAGAAUAAGCUCCGGCUAACUCCGUG
rnacentral:rRNA from 1 species